CGUGUAGGCGGAGAAGCAAGUCAGAAGUGAAAUCCAUGGGCUUAACCCAUGAACUGCUUUUGAAACUGUUUCCCUUGAGUAUCGGAGAGGCAGGCGGAAUUCCUAGUGUAGCGGUGAAAUGCGUAGAUAUUAGGAGGAACACCAGUGGCGAAGGCGGCCUGCUGGACGACAACUGACGCUGAGGCGCGAAAGCGUGGGAGCAAACA
rnacentral:rRNA from 1 species